rnacentral:tRNA from 2 species
GGAACCGUAGCUCAGUUGGUAGAGCGCCCGGUUUACAUCCGGAAGGUCAGAGGUUCAAGUCCUCUCGGUUCCA